rnacentral:rRNA from 1 species
AACGCUGGCGGCAUGCCUUACACAUGCAAGUCGAACGGCAGGCACGGGAGCAAUCCUGGUGGCGAGUGGCGAACGAGUGAGUAAUAUAUCGGAACGUGCCCAGUCGUGGGGGAUAACGUAGCGAAAGCUACGCUAAUACCGCAUACGAUCUAUGGAUGAAAGCGGGGGAUCGCAAGACCUCGCGCGAUUGGAGCGGCCGAUAUCAGAUUAGGUAGUUGGUGAGGUAAAGGCUCACCAAGCCGACGAUCUGUAGCUGGUCUGAGAGGACGACCAGCCACACUGGGACUGAGACACGGCCCAGACUCCUACGGGAGGCAGCAGUGGGGAAUUUUGGACAAUGGGCGCAAGCCUGAUCCAGCAAUGCCGCGUGCAGGAUGAAGGCCUUCGGGUUGUAAACUGCUUUUGUACGGAACGAAACGGUGAGCUCUAAUACAGUUUGCUAAUGACGGUACCGUAAGAAUAAGCACCGGCUAACUACGUG